AUGAACGCUAGCUACAGGCUUAACACAUGCAAGUCGAGGGGCAUCAGGAAGAAAGCUUGCUUUCUUUGCUGGCGACCGGCGCACGGGUGAGUAACACGUAUCCAACCUGCCCUUUACUCGGGGAUAGCCUUUCGAAAGAAAGAUUAAUACCCGAUAGCAUAAUGAUUCCGCAUGGUUUCAUUAUUAAAGGAUUCCGGUAAAGGAUGGGGAUGCGUUCCAUUAGGUUGUUGGUGAGGUAACGGCUCACCAAGCCUUCGAUGGAUAGGGGUUCUGAGAGGAAGGUCCCCCACAUUGGAACUGAGACACGGUCCAAACUCCUACGGGAGGCAGCAGUGAGGAAUAUUGGUCAAUGGGCGCUAGCCUGAACCAGCCAAGUAGCGUGAAGGAUGAAGGCUCUAUGGGUCGUAAACUUCUUUUAUAUAAGAAUAAAGUGCAGUAUGUAUACUGUUUUGUAUGUAUUAUAUGAAUAAGGAUCGGCUAACUCCGUGCCAGCAGCCGCGGUAAUACGGAGGAUCCGAGCGUUAUCCGGAUUUAUUGGGUUUAAAGGGAGCGUAGGUGGACUGGUAAGUCAGUUGUGAAAGUUUGCGGCUCAACCGUAAAAUUGCAGUUGAUACUGUCAGUCUUGAGUACAGUAGAGGUGGGCGGAAUUCGUGGUGUAGCGGUGAAAUGCUUAGAUAUCACGAAGAACUCCGAUUGCGAAGGCAGCUCACUGGACUGCAACUGACACUGAUGCUCGAAAGUGUGGGUAUCAAACAGGAUUAGAUACCCUGGUAGUCCACACAGUAAACGAUGAAUACUCGCUGUUUGCGAUAUACAGUAAGCGGCCAAGCGAAAGCAUUAAGUAUUCCACCUGGGGACUACGCCGGCAACGGUGAAACUCAAAGGAAUUGACGGGGGCCCGCACAAGCGGUGGAGUAUGUGGUUUAAUUCGACGCAACGCGAAGAACCUUACCAAGUCUUGACAUCCUGAUGACGGUUCCUUAACCGGAACUUUUCUUCGGAACAUCAGAGACAGGUGGUGCAUGGUUGUCGUCAGCUCGUGCCGUGAGGUGUCGGCUUAAGUGCCAUAACGAGCGCAACCCUUAUCGAUAGUUACCAUCAGGUUAUGCUGAGGACUCUAGAGAGACUGCCGUCGUAAGAUGUGAGGAAGGUGGGGAUGACGUCAAAUCAGCACGGCCCUUACGUCCGGGGCUACACACGUGUUACAAUGGGGGGUACAGAAGGCAGCUAGCGGGUGACCGUAUGCUAAUCCCAAAAGCCUCUCUCAGUUCGGAUCGAAGUCUGCAACCCGACUUCGUGAAGCUGGAUUCGCUAGUAAUCGCGCAUCAGCCACGGCGCGGUGAAUACGUUCCCGGGCCUUGUACACACCGCCCGUCAAGCCAUGGGAGCCGGGGGUACCUGAAGUACGUAACCGCAAGGAUCGUCCUAGGGUAAAACUGGUGACUGGGGCU
rnacentral:rRNA from 1 species